AGAAGUGAGGGUCAUCUGGCUGUGACAUCUGUCACCCCACUGAUCUCCAGGGUUGAUUCAGCUGAUCUGGCUGGCCAGGUGGGUGUCCCCUUCCUCCCCCAACACACCACGUGUGUCCCUCCUGAAGCUGCAGGCUCAGUCACAGAGGAUGAUGUCCCCGGUAGAGAUGGCGCCAUUCAUCAGUCAGGGGUGUGGGGCAGCUGUGCUCCCCUGCCACAACCUCCAAACAGGGUCAAGGUCUGUCAAAGGCACAUCCUUCUUUCUUUCAGGAUUUUUCAUAGAGGAGCACAGAGGAAAGAAAGAGAAAACUAUUUCUAUUUCUGCUCCU
ensembl:misc_RNA 7SK 7SK RNA